GAACGGGAUCUCUUGGAUGGAACCUUCGGGCGAAGUCCGGGAGUGAGAGUGGCGAACGGGUGAGUAACACGUGGGCAAUUUGCCCCUAAGCCCGGGAUAGCCCCCCGAAAGGGGGUGUAAUACCGGAUGUGAUCGUCUCGCGCAUGCGAGACUGUUUAAAGGUGGGGAUCCUUCGGGACCUGCCACUUGGGGAUGAGCCCGCGGCCUAUCAGCUUGUUGGUGAGGUAACGGCUCACCAAGGCGAAGACGGGUAGCUGGUCUGAGAGGAUGACUAGUCACACUGGGACUGAGACACUGCCCAGACUCCUAUGGGAGGCUGCAGUCGAGAAUCA
rnacentral:rRNA from 1 species